GAUGAACGCUGGCGGCGUGCUUAACACAUGCAAGUCGAACGAUGAAGCCCAGCUUGCUGGGUGGAUUAGUGGCGAACGGGUGAGUAACACGUGAGUAACCUGCCCUUUACUCUUGGAUAAGCCUUGGAAACUGGGUCUAAUACUGGAUAUGACUUCUCAUCGCAUGGGGGGGGGGGGAAAGAUUUAUUGGUCUUGGAUGGACUCGCGGCCUAUCAGCUUUUUGGUGAGGUAAUGGCUCACCAAGGCGACGACGGGUAGCCGGCCGGAGAGGGUGACCGGCCACAUGGGGACUGAGAAACGGCCCAGACGCUGAGGGGGGGCAACAGUGGGGAAUAUGGAACAAGGGGCGAAGGCCUGAUGAAGCGACGCCGGGGGGGGGAGGACGGCCUUCGGGUUGUAAACCUCUUUCAGUAGGGAAGAAGCGAGAGGGAGGGUACCGGUAGAAGAAGCGCCGGCUAACUACGU
rnacentral:rRNA from 1 species